rnacentral:rRNA from 1 species
GACGAACCGUCCAAACGUUAUUCGGAAUCACUGGGCUUACAGAGUUCGUAGGCGGUCUGGAAAGUUGGGUGUGAAAUCCCUCGGCUCAACCGAGGAACUGCGCUUGAAACUACCAGACUCGAGGGAGAUAGAGGAAAGCGGAACUGAUGGUGGAGCGGUGAAAUGCGUUGAUAUCAUCAGGAACACCGGUGGCGAAGGCGGCUUUCUGGGUCUUACCUGACGCUGAGGAACGAAA